rnacentral:rRNA from 1 species
UACGUAGGGUGCAAGCGUUGUCCGGAAUUAUUGGGCGUAAAGAGCUCGUAGGUGGUUUGUCGCGUUGUUCGUGAAAACUCACAGCUUAACUGUGGGCGUGCGGGCGAUACGGGCAGACUUGAGUACUGCAGGGGAGACUGGAAUUCCUGGUGUAGCGGUGGAAUGCGCAGAUAUCAGGAGGAACACCGGUGGCGAAGGCGGGUCUCUGGGCAGUAACUGACGCUGAGGAGCGAAAGCGUGGGGGAGCGAACAGG